CAUUGAAACACCAGUUCACCUAUGAUCACUGAAGUUAAGCAAUGUUGAGCCUGGUCAGUACCUAGAUGGGUAAUCAUUUGGGAAUACCAAGAGCUACA